rnacentral:misc_RNA from 1 species
UGCCUUCCUUCCCUCUUCUUUUUUUUUCUGCUGCGCCGCUGGAGCCCUGCCAUUCCUCACCGUCCUCACGAAUUGCCCCGCCUCGUCGCACUCCCCAGCACUGCUCUGCUCUUCUCGGUGGACCAGCACACACACACACACACACACACACACUCCUGUUGCUCUCUGUGCGUCCACGCCCGACACCGUCGGUACAGCCAGCUCAGCCGCGCGAUCACUGCCCCUUAGGAGUGGAGGAGGAGGGAAAGGGGUAGUCGCAACGCACGAUCUGGCCCGGUACGCGCGCUCGCUGCGCGCUUCGGGUGUUGACGCACAUACGCGGAGACAACGGUGCGCAGGGAACUCUUCCCUGCUCCCACUCCCAUCAACGCCCCGCGGGGAGAAAGAGGGUAAGAGAAAGAGUGGAACUCCCUCAGCGCACUGUGACGCGCAUCUUCUUACUUUUUUCGUAUUUUGUUUUGCUUCAUCAUCUGCUGCCGAGGUACAAGAGAGGUCUGCACUCCAUUUUGGUGUGCCCUCUCCCCCCCCCCCACCCCACCACCACCACCACCCUCCAUUCUGACCCCUAGCUUCCCUUUCUUCUCACCCUAUCGUAUGCUCUUCUCAGGCCAUUGUGUGGUGCAUCUUUGCCUGUUUCUGUGUCUGUCUCUGAGUCUUUUCAGUCUCGGCCACGCAUCCGCGCAAGCCUCUGCUUGCCUUUCCCCUCCUCGCCACCACCUGCCUCCCCCUCUACGUCUCCCUUGCACCUUUUCUGCUGACUGUCUGCAUCUCCGCUCCUUUCCUCUUCCCGCCUCUCCGGGCACUCCGUCUUUGUUGUUCUCCGUUAUUUCGGCUCUGCCUGUGUGCCUGCUGGUGCGCCGCUGUGGUGAAGACUUGUGUUGUCGCUUGGUCGAUUUUUGUUUUCCAUCCGUUCCUACGCUGUUGAUUGAGCGUACUCGAUCCCCAUUUGCGUGCUCUCUCUCACGCCCUCUUGUUGUCCGCCUCUAAGGUGUUCGCCUGCUCUUCGGGGCGUGUGUGUCUCGCUCGUUUCUCUUCUCCUUCCUCGCCCAGCCCCGACACCCCACCCCCACCCGCGGCGCACGCAUACAUAGCGUCUUGCAUAAAGGUAUAUAUAUAUAUAUUCUUGAACGAACGCCGCGACCUCUCUCGGCCUUUGUUUCCACCAUCUCUUCACCUCGCUGUGUCUGUCGCCUAUUGUGCGUGUCCGUCCAUCCGUCCGUCUGUCUGUUCCAGGUGCAUCAUCAACGGAGCCUGCGUCACUGCGCACCUUCCUCGUCCGCUUUUUCUUCCUCGUGUAUACUCCACUUCACUCUUGUAUGUACGCGCACCUGUCGCUGCUUUCUCUCCAACGCGCCUUCCCUCCCAUCGCCUCACCACGGCGCUGUCGGUGUCUGCGUCUUGUGUGCUCCUCCUCUCUUGCCUUUGGUUGCUCUCCCAUUUUGCAUCGCUGCUGCUCGUCUCGCCUGGUUCUCUUGCCGCCACGGCCGCCCUCCCCCCCUUGCCUCUGCUCUUCCGUGUGCCCACCGACACGUGAGGAGAGCGCGGGUGCGGCAGUGAGGAGGGGGUGCCUCUCCAUCAUUUCUGCUUCCCUCGUCUGCAAUGGCGUCGGUGGGAGAGUUCGGUUUCGAGCACAAGAUUCUGCCUUCUCUGCCGUCCGCGAUUUCUGGUAGGCCGGGGUACGUGAUAUCGCCUUCCGAUCUCGCGGAUGGCCGCAGGCACAGCAGCAACGCGGAGGAGAUCCUGAAUGAUGCUGCAGGGCAACCUGCGUCACGGGCCCGCCAGAUGAAGGGCUCCAAAAAUGCACGCCACGCGCCGGAGCACACGAACAGCGGCGAUGACCUCAUCAUGGCUACCGAGGGCGGAGCACAUGCGCGCAUCGACUCCACAGGUGGGCUGCGCGCGCUUUCCUCUGCGAUGAGUGGCGACGACAGCGAGCAUAAACUUGAGCUGAACGUGCUUGGCGCCACCGGCGGCGACGUCCAUCGCAGCAGACCUGGAUGUGAGGAAGAUGAUGUCGUGACAAAGCCGCCUGUCUCUCGCAGAGAGGGUCUCCUGCCCCCGGUGCGCCAAUGCCCCAGUGGCGCGUGCGAGAACGGCUCGAGCGGCGCCGACAAGACCGCGAAAAGGACCGCCGGCACCUCCACACGACCGAAGGGCUCCGUGCAGGAAUACGUGCGCAAGAAACUGCAACUUCAAAGUGAGCGGGGGAUCCGGACUUGCAGCAGGGUGCGGCGACCCCUCUGCUCCAUCCUUGUGAAGUCAGAUGCAUCCGAGUCGAAGGGGGGCGAGGAUGCGAAUGACACUCAGCGCUGCGACGCUGAGCCGCGCUGCGGCCUUGACUCGGACAAGUCGACGAACAACAGGGCCUUCUGGAAGAGAACCAUGUCUAAGCAAGAGACCGACGCAGAUUUGCGCUGCUACACCGCACACGAGUACAUCUUAGCCUUUUACUACCAUGAGAGCAAGGAGUGCGACGACAGUCUAGAGUUGGCUACCCCAGACAGCAGCCAGCGGCGACAGCGCGAGCGUGUGGCGCGCGUGGUAGCGGAGGCGACGCCACGCGAGGAAGCCGAGAGGCUCAAGCUGAAGUCAAGGGGGUCCAUCUCCCCUAGCACGCGACGGGCGAAGAUGACGUGUGCCACGGUAGAGGAGCUGUACGAGCAACUGAUGGUGUGCUACCGGAAGGCUGGGGUGGAAAAGGGCUAUCUCGACACACUCUUCAUGAAGGAGGUGCUGAGCGGCAGACGGCAGCCGCGGGUGCACGAAAUGGAAAAGGACGACGACCUCGGCGAGAACUUGUCCGCCCCAUCCGAUGACGAAGUCGCGGAGGUGCCGAGGGAAGUGGUGCAGGUGGGCAGGCCGAAGCGGUCAAAACCGGUUGCGAUCAGCAAGCGCUCCGCGGAGUCGCCAAGCUUAUACGAGAUUAUGCUGGAGCAGAUGCGGGCGAAGACAACGCCAGCCUUUCUGCACCAUAACGCCAUCCCGCUGCCAACGAUGCGUUUCCUCCAAAAUCGGGGCACCAUCAAGCUGGGCGACUACUCAUACGUGCUCCACCUCUGGGAUGAUGAAGAGAAGGGCUACCUCGUCACCGGCGUCUUCGACCGCAAGCCUGGGUUCCCAAAGCAGUUCAAGGACUCCUGCACGUACGCGAUUUACAGCUUGGAAAUGGGCCGGGACUGGGGCAUGCGGUUCGGAGAGCUGGUGCUGAUGCGGCAGCACCUGGCACCAGGGGCACGGAAGCACUUCCCUGAAGAGGGCAAGCUUAUUCGCGGGCACACGGUGAUUCGCGCUGCAAGCGUCUUAGACAUCUUUGACGGCCGUGUGUGCGGCAUCCCGUCCAACCUCAGGGAGCUGGAUUACCGGCGCACCGGCAUCCACGCGAGCGUGCAGGCCCUCGCGCACUAUAACCAUCUCUUCCCCCGCUGGAGUCCGCUGCGCAGCAUUGUCCACCCGCAGGACAUCUUCGGCUGUCCGGUGGUGAACCCGACCGGGGGUAUAUACUGCCUCUCGAUGAUCGUGAAUGGGGCGACGCGGAUGGUGAAGGUGGACGACCGGGUGCCGGUGGAGCCGGAGAGCGGGCUCUUUCGUUGUCUCACGUCCGCCACGUUCGAGUUGUACCCGGCUCUGCUGGAGAAGGGGCUCCUCAAGGCAAACGGUUGUGGUAUCAACCUCGCCCUUAUGGAGAGCGCCGCGGUGCUGUUCCAGUUAUGCGGGUGGAUACCUGAGGUGAUUCGCUUCCGCAGCGCUGGCGAAGUCGAGGAGCCUACCGUGGAUGGUCUGAUGCGGCCAUCGGAGAUGUGGUCGGUGCUGAUGGAGGGCUACAACUUUGGGCGACUCAUGAUGACUCUCACGGCGCACUGGUGUGCUGGCCGGCCGCCCCUCACGGCGUCGGAGCGGGUGAUGCAGAGCGCGCAGUGGUUCGUGACACCGGUUGUGUAUCCCGUGAUCGACAUGAUCACGCAGCGUUUGAGCACCACCGGGGAACCCACUAUUCGCGCCAUCAUGCUGCGGGACACAACGAAGGAUCCGUCAACGCGAAAGUUCGAGCCACCUUUCAAGACCUCCCUUACGGCGGAGCAGCUGCUCGACCUGGGCUACAUGAACGCCCACCGCGAGGCCGGUGUCUUCUGCGUCACGUGGGAGGAGGCGCUCGCACAUUUUGAUCACUGCAGCAUCAACUGGAGCCCCUUCACGUACUGGGACCUUCCGAGCGGAUCUGAGACGCCAGAGGACUGUACACGGCUGUGCUGCCACGGCAUCUAUGACAUGCACAACGCUGGGAAGCACAUGGCGCGGCAGCCGCAGUUUCACAUUUGCUCGCACCUGGUCGACCGGUGCACGCACUUAUUCCUCGUUUUCUGCCCACACGCGGGGGACCAGUCCCCGCUGCCGCACGACAACAACAUGCUUGACAAGAAAACUGUAGAUGAGCUCUCCGGGGGCGGGGCAGUAGUGCGGCUGCGCGUGUAUGAGGUGACGACGCUGCCGUCUCUGACGCAGUGCAAGAUGCGCGACAGCCGUGGCCGUCGAGUGACGUGCUGCUUCGGGGACUGCCAAGGACGGCGCAUCGUCAGCGAAACCGAAGGGCCGCGCGGACUGCAGUCACUGGCGAUGGCGCAGGGUAACCGCAACGAAUUCAUCACACUCGGUUUCGACUGCCUGCCGGGCACGCGGGAGUACGUGGUCGUCAUGGACGUGCACGACCGUCACCGGCCGCCGCGUGGUAAGGGCACUUUUCCGUACACCCUAACGCUCUUCACGUGUCUCGAUCCGCUGCUGGAGCGCAACCCCAACAAACUCCCGAUGUUCGCCAUACACGCUCAUCACGCCACGCUGGAGCAGGCGAAGCAGGCGGCGAUGGGCGGCGGCUUCUCACACCUGGACGUUGCUUCAGCAGACCUGAACGUCAAUGAUCUCAUCGAGGAGGAGGCGCAGCGCAAGCCACCGAGGCAGACGAUCACGAUCCACGCCAUCCCAGAGCACCCCAACAUUCACUCCCGCACGGUGCAGGGGCUGUGGUCCGUGCCCGAGUCGCGCACGCGGACAGUGCUGCUGCCGCACGACGCCACGCUUGAGGUGUUGUACACGGGCACGCAGUACUACUUCCACCUUGACAAGCCUUCGUACUUCGCCUUGCGCAUCUGCCAGUCGAUGCAGGCUGGGCCGGCGCUCUCCACGGUCAAGAUGAAAGUACUGCUGGUGCGACGGACCGGCAGAGAUGACAUGUGCACGAAGGAGAAGGACCCGCCGGCCGAGCGCAAAACGCAGACCGGCGGCGGUGCAGCGGGAAAAGGAGGCAAGGCGUACGUGCCACGGUCUGUGCAGGGGAUCGUUAUGAAAGGCAGCGAUGUUGUGCUGAGCAGCGGUGCCUGGUCCGUGGACGGCGCGGUGAUCGACAGUGUAUCGCCACACACGGUGCUGCUGGAUCGGAACGGAGUUCUUGUCCAGAACCCGCGGCGGCUGCGGCAGUACUAUCACACCUCCUUCAACAUCGCCCUCUCCGACCGCGAAAACAAGGACAAGACGAACAUGAGCUUCUUCCUCAUGUCUCACCCGGACCCGAGCGAUCAAAUGCGCUCCGUCAUUCUGCAGGCCUUCGCGGACGGCUUUUUGAUCUCGCCGCACGCGUGCAACAUCGGCAUCAAGGGCAACCUCAUACCACACGACACGGAGGUGCGCGCCGUCCUCACGUCCUCGAACUUCUCCUACGAGUUGCACGGUGACGAGGGCCACUCCGUACCCUUCACACAAGAGAGCGCGCAGCGAUCGCUGGCGGCGCCGGUGCCGCAACUCGACCUGUUCAUCGAUGUGGACCUGCAGAACACGGCACCGGCGAAAAGCACCUCGUUCUCGCCAGGGUCAAGCGCUAGUUACGCGGUUGAUCGGCUGCGCGCCGUCGUGCGCUCCGCGCUGACGUCGAGUCCAGCACAGCGACUGCGGCUGCUGCGCACCCUAUUCUCCACCAUGACAUUUGUCCGCCAUACGGUCAAGAAUGAAAGUCACCGCGCAUUUCUGAUGGGGCUGGGCGGCUCGAUCGAGGCGUGGGUGAGAUGGCACCAGAGUCUGGAGUCGCCGGGGGUGCAGGCACCGGUGCUGUCCCUGCCGCCGCUGCCGGAGGGGGACUACAUCAUCAUCCCUUGCUUCAAACCCCUGUCGGACGAAAAGGCGACGGAGCUGGGGAAGAAGCGUGGCGUUGUGACGGGGAACCAAGGCGCACUGGCCUUCGACAUCACCCUCAGCGUACCAGGUCGAGUCGUGGAGCUGAUUCCGACUAGAAAUCCAGCCGACGGGCAGGGUAGCACGCAAGCUGUGCAGACGCAGAUGCAUUGCGAGCAGACCAUUGCAAGCGCCGAGCGCCUGUGUCCCGACGUACACAGUAGGCGCUAUGGCGUCACCUCUUCUCUUUCACGGUGGAUAUCUGGCUCGAGGAAGGGAGCGUAGGAGGUGUGUGCAAGGCGACGGCACAGCGGAAGAGCAGGCGUGUGUGUGCGUGAAGGGCUAUCUAUGUGUAAAGGGUUUGUGUGGUUGUAGGCAACGCUGGGAAAAGGCAGGUGGCGGUGUUGGUGGGGAGGGGGGAAGGGGAGGAAGCGCCUCACAGAGCAACAUGCAUACGUCUGUAGGUCCAGGUGUGCGAGUCUCUUGAUCUUCGCAUCUAUCCCCGUCUGCCUUCUCACUAGUUCUCUUACGGAAUCGCCCCCUCCCCCUCUUCUUUCCUUUUCUCUGCAUGAUGCACAUGCUUGUAUGUGCUGCUGAAAAUGUUUGUGCUCUUUCGAAUCCCCUGUCCAGUGCGCGUGUGAUUCGAUGUCCGUCGCCCGUCGUCUUCGCUGACGCGAAGAGGUGCGACCUCAUGCACGCAGCGUACCCUGUUAGCCACGCAUGACGGAGACAGGUGCACACCCUUCCCCGACCGAUUGGUUCAGGUCCGCACGCAACUAAUGUGCCGAUGGGAGGGCGGGGGUGACUGUGUGUGCAUACGUAUCGUCGCCCUGUGUUUCCAUCUCCUUUCCUCUCCCUGUCGCCACCAAUGCCGCGGCGCAUUUCUUUGUUCUACUCCGCCAAGUUGAUCACCGGACAGCCCUAUACGGCGUUAUUCUUUUCGAAACCUUUUCUCCACCCUCCCACCUCCGUCGGUGGCGCUGCUCGGCUCGUGUGUGUGUGUGUGUGUGCAUGGCCGGGUACGUAUGCGUGCCGUUGUGUGCACCACCGCCGCCGCCACGUGAGGCCAGCCACACCUCCCCCUGCCCUCCUCUUCUGUUCACCGCAUAUUUUCAUCCGCUGUUCCCUGUUGCUUUAUUUUCCCUUUUUUCCUCUUCCCGGGCCGUUUCGUCAGGCAGCGUGCGGCCGCGUUUGGCUCCGUUCCUGGCGGCGUUCUGCCAACUCGUUGAUGCAAUGUGUACGUGUGUAACGCCCAACGGUUGGGGCUGUGCUUCUCCUCCCCUUCGCACCAAUCAUGGGUGGUCAUCAAACCCAUAUAUGCAUACCGAUGCCCCUGCCCAGAGAUGUGCACGUGAGCUUGCAUGCCUCAACACAAGACGCCUCGCAACUCAUGCGGCAGCUUAGCACCGCGUCGAGGGAGGGAGGCGGUGAUGUUCUUUCUUUUUUAGGGUUCAAUGGAUGCUUCGUGUCUGCUACUCCGUCUCCUCAUCAUGCUUUCUGUAUUGCUUUCUUCCCUCGUCUGCAUUUUUCCUCUGCGCACAUCCGCAGGUGGGCAUGUGUGUGUAUAUGUGCACAUAUAUAUAUAUAUAUGUACGUAUCUGCGUUUUCGUGUGUGGCCCAGCUGUAUCGCUCGGUGGUGUGCACGACAGGGCGAGGUUGCGUGGGUGUGUGUAAUCUUGCUUGCGCGCCAUGCCAUUCUCAGUACUGUUUCUUUGUCUGGUUCCCAGUAGCCCUCAUAUACGCGAUGGGUGUGCAACAGUCCCAGAACCGAAACAAGGAGCACUAGCAAUCAGUGCAGCACUCUCUGCAAGGGGCUUCUCCCCUCACCUCCUCCUGCGACUCCGUCCCCCCCCUUCCCACACUGCACGCACUCGCGUCUCUUUUUUCUUUCGCUCAAGACGCGGUGCCGAUCCGCGCACGAUCCAUGCGCAUCCAUGGAGUACUGGGUGGUUGGUGGGGGGCA